UUGGAUCAAGGACAUCUAAAACCUGCAGAACACCGGCCCUUGAGGCCGGGAGUUCAACACCUCUUCUUUAUUGUGUUGAAUCUGAUCAUUUCCUAUAUAAGUGUGAGUAGGCCGCUGGUCAAAGUUGGAAUGCUGGCAGAUCUCAUUGACUCUGGGGAAUUGCAGAAUUUCAUGGAUUCAAACCUUGUUAAACAACUAGGUACUGCUCUGGUCCCACUUCGUGAAUCUCUUCGCAUGUCAGCUGUCAAUGUUAACCUCCUUGCCAGCAUCACCCACCAGCCUCAACCCUUCUCAAUCCUGCUUUCCCGAAAUCACCAUGAGUACAUUACUCUAUUCAUCUUCGACUCACCUAAUUCACCUCUUGUUCUCAGUUUUCCCUAGCAACAAACACACAACCCAACAACAUAGAUUGGAUAAACAGUAAUAGCUCUUUUCCACUAGCACCUGAUGUGCAUGAGGUUGUUCUAGCAACACGGCCUAAAAUCCUGUGACGUCAUUUGUAUGCAACACAAACACCACAACCAUGGAGGACGCCAAUGCGAUGAUAUACCUGCUGCUUGGAGUAUGGCUUUUUGUCAGACUCAGCUCUUAUCUCUUCCUCCUGUUCUCUAUUAGCAGCAGGAUU